GGUCACUCAACCACUCCGCAGGGGAGCCUUUUCCAAAAAACGAAUCCAGUAAUGGAUCAGGACUAACACAGGGCCAUGGUAGACCAUGAAGAGUUAGGAGGAAUAAUUUCCAGACACGCCAAAGGAUUAAUCUCUUUGCUGAAGAUAAAAAGAGGUAUGAGUCUACAAGAACCCAGCAAGAAUGAAUGUGAACUUCUCAGGCCGGCUAUGAGUGUUCUUUCAUGAGUCCCUGUGUCUCCAGGAGGACUCCAAGCUCCUUUUUGAAAACAGUGCUGGACUGAUGAAC